UGGGGAAUAUUGGACAAUGGGCGAAAGCCUGAUCCAGCAACGCCGCGUGAGGGAUGACGGCCUUCGGGUUGUAAACCUCUUUCAGCAGGGACGAAGCGCAAGUGACGGUACCGGCAGAAGAAGCACCGGCCAACUACGUGCCAGCAGCCGCGGUAAUACGUAGGGUGCGAGCGUUGUCCGGAAUUAUUGGGCGUAAAGGGCUCGUAGGCGGUUUGUCACGUCGGGAGUGAAAACUCGGGGCUCAACCCCGAGCCUGCUUCCGAUACGGGCAGACUAGAGGUAGGCAGGGGAGAGCGGAACUCCUGGUGUAGCGGUGGAAUGCGCAGAUAUCAGGAAGAACACCGGUGGCGAAGGCGGCUCUCUGGGCCUUACCUGAUGCUGAGGAGCGAAAGCGUGGGUAGCGAAC
rnacentral:rRNA from 1 species